UACGAAGGGUGCAAACGUUGCUCGGAAUUACUGGGCGUAAAGGGCGCGUAGGCGGAUACUUAAGUUAGAGGUGAAAGCCCAGGGCUCAACCCUGGAACAGCCUUUAAUACUGGGUAUCUUGAGUUCGGGAGAGGUGAGUGGAACUCCGAGUGUAGAGGUGAAAUUCGUAGAUAUUCGGAAGAACACCAGUGGCGAAGGCGACUCACUGGCCCGAUACUGACGCUGAGGCGCGAAAGCGUGGGGAGCAAACAGG
rnacentral:rRNA from 1 species